rnacentral:tRNA from 1 species
GCCUGGGUGGCUCAGUUGGUUGAGUGUCCGACUUCGGCUCAGGUCAUGAUCUCACAGUCCGUGGGUUCGAGCCCCGCGUCAGGCU